GUCCUCGUAGCGGAGUGGUUAGCAUUUGUGUGCUUUUCUUCGGCGUUUGAUUUACCCAGCGAAAUGAUUUAAAGUAGCGAAAGACGUCGGUUCGAAUCCGACCGGAGACA